rnacentral:rRNA from 1 species
UACGUAGGGGGCAAGCGUUAUCCGGAUUUACUGGGUGUAAAGGGAGCGUAGACGGAAUUGCAAGUCUGAUGUGAAAAUCCGGGGCCCAACCCCGGAACUGCAUUGGAAACUGUAUUUCUAGAGUGUCGGAGAGGCAAGUGGAAUUCCUGGUGUAGCGGUGAAAUGCGCAGAUAUCAGGAGGAACACCAGUGGCGAAGGCGGCUUGCUGGACGAUGACUGACGUUGAGGCUCGAAAGCGUGGGGAGCAAACAGG